rnacentral:lncRNA from 1 species
GGUACCUCUUGCUGGCUGUCUGAGCACUUAGAAGCCGAGUGUUGGUAUCUGCUGUCAGAUGGAUAAAUAUAUGUCUAUUUUAGGUCUUCAGGCCGCAGAUGGGUAGCCGAUCACCAGCCUGGUGCUCGCCUAUGAUGUAGACUUGUGAGGUGCUGUUCAGCUGGGAGUGCGUUUUCCAAGGCUCUCGUGUCUAGCUGAGGUUACGUGGCAACUUCUGGCUAAUGAAAC